AGAGUUUGAUCCUGGCUCAGGACGAACGCUAGCGGCGGGCUUAAUACAUGCAAGUCGAGGGGGCAGCAAUGUCACCGGCGAACGGGUGCGUAACACGUAUGUAACCUACCUUUUACUAGAGGAUAUACCAGAGAAAUUUGGGGCAACACUCUAUAUGCACACUGACUGGCAUCAGUUAGGGUGGAAAGGCAACGGUAAGAGAUGGACAUGCGUCUGAUUAGCUAGUUGGUGAGGUAACGGCUCACCAAGGCGACGAUCAGUAACUGGUCUGAGAGGAUGAUCAGUCACACUGGCACUGAGACACGGGCCAGACUCCUACGGGAGGCAGCAGUAAGGAAUAUUGGUCAAUGGACGGAAGUCUGAACCAGCCACGCCGCGUGGAGGAAGAAGGUUCUCUGGAUUGUAAACUCCUUUUGCCGAGGGCUAAGAAAUGGGUAUAUCCCGUCGUGAAAGUACUCGGUGAAUAAGCCACGGCUAACUACGUGCCAGCAGCCGCGGUAAUACGUAGGUGGCAAGCGUUGUCCGGAUUUACUGGGUUUAAAGGGUGCGUAGGCGGUUCGAAAAGUCAGUCGUUAAAGGCAGCAGCUUAACUGUUGUAAGGCGAUUGAUACUGCCGAACUUGAAUUAUUGGGAGGUUGUCGGAAUGCGUAGUGUAGCGGUGAAAUGCUCAGAUAUUACGCAGAACGCCGAUUGCGAAGGCAGAUAACUACCAAUAGAUUGACGCUGAGGCACGAAAGUGUGGGGAGCGAACAGGAUUAGAUACCCUGGUAGUCCACGCCCUAAACGAUGUCAACUGGUUGUUGGACGGCUUGCUGUUCAGUAACGAAGCUAACGCGUGAAGUUGACCGCCUGGGGAGUACGGCCGCAAGGUUGAAACUCAAAGGAAUUGACGGGGACCCGCACAAGCGGUGGAUGAUGUGGUUUAAUUCGAUGCAACGCGAAAAACCUUACCUACCCUUGACAUGUCAGGAAGUUACCAGAGAUGGUUUCGUGCUCGAAAGAGAACCUGAACACAGGUGCUGCAUGGCCGUCGUCAGCUCGUGUCGUGAGAUGUUGGGUUAAGUCCCGCAACGAGCGCAACCCUUAUCAUUAGUUGCUACGCAAGGGCACUCUAAUGAGACUGCCGGUGACAAACCGGAGGAAGGUGGGGAUGACGUCAGGUCAUCAUGGCCCUUAUGGGUAGGGCUACACACGUCAUACAAUGGCCGGUACAGAGGGCUGCCAACCCGCGAGGGGGAGCUAAUCUCAGAAAACCGGUCGUAGUCCGGAUCGCAGUCUGCAACUCGACUGCGUGAAGUCGGAAUCGCUAGUAAUCGCGGAUCAGCUUGCCGCGGUGAGUACGUUCCCGGGUCUUGUACACACCGCCCGUCACACCAUGGGAGCGGGUUCUGCCAGAAGUAGUUAGCCUAACCGCAAGGAGGGCGAUUACCACGGCAGGGUUCGUGACU
rnacentral:rRNA from 1 species